rnacentral:pre_miRNA from 1 species
AAUGUAAUUGCUGGGACAAAUGGUGGUUCCAUUCCAAGAGUUCUAAGGAAUCUCCAUGCUGCUUUCCAGUGUGGUUGCACCAAUUUGCAGUCCCACCAGGAAU